AAGCAACGCGAAGAACUUACCAGGCCUUGACAUGCAGAGAACUUUCCAGAGAUGGAUUGGUACCUUCGGGAACUCUGACACAGGUGCUGCAUGGCUGUCGUCAGCUCGUGUCGUGAGAUGGUGGGUUAAGUCCCGUAACGAGCGCAACCCUUGUCCUUAGUUACCAGCACGUUAUGGUGGGCACUCUAAGGAGACUGCCGGUGACAAACCGGAGGAAGGUGGGGAUGACGUCAAGUCAUCAUGGCCCUUACGGCCUGGGCUACACACGUGCUACAAUGGUCGGUACAAAGGGUUGCCAAGCCGCGAGGUGGAGCUAAUCCCAUAAAACCGAUCGUAGUCCGGAUCGCAGUCUGCAACUCGACUGCGUGAAGUCGGAAUCGCUAGUAAUCGUGAAUCAGAAUGUCACGGUGAAUACGUUCCCGGGCCUU
rnacentral:rRNA from 1 species